rnacentral:rRNA from 1 species
UUACCUACGGGAGGCAGCAGUGGGGAAUAUUGCGCAAUGGGGGCAACCCUGACGCAGCAACGCCGCGUGAUUGAAGAAGGCCUUCGGGUUGUAAAGAUCUUUCAUCGGGGACGAAUUUUGACGGUACCCGAAGAAUAAGCUCCGGCUAACUACGAGCCAGCAGCCGCGGUAAUACGUGGGGAGCAAGCGUUAUCCGGAUUUACUGGGUGUAAAGGGCGUGUAGGCGGGCAGGCAAGCCAGAAGGG